rnacentral:rRNA from 10 species
AAUCAGAAUUAUCACACUUUUAACACACCCAAUCUCAUCUUGGAAGCUAAGCAAGGUUGAGCCUGUUUAGUACUUGGAUGGGAGAAUUAUCAUAUGUCUCAUGAGCUUGGGAGAGACACUUUGCACUGAAUC